GAUGAACGCUAGCUACAGGCUUAACACAUGCAAGUCGAGGGGAAACGGCAUCGAAAGCUUGCUUUUGAUGGGCGUCGACCGGCGCACGGGUGAGUAACGCGUAUCCAACCUGCCCAUCACUUGGGAAUAACCUUGCGAAAGUAAGACUAAUGCCCAAUGACAUCCCACGAAGGCAUCCGAAUGGGAUUAAAGAUUUAUCGGUGAUGGAUGGGGAUGCGUCUGAUUAGCUUGUUGGCGGGGUGACGGCCCACCAAGGCAACGAUCAGUAGGGGUUCUGAGAGGAAGGUCCCCCACAUGGGAACUGAGACACGGGCCAAACUCCUACGGGAGGCAGCAGUGAGGAAGAUUGGUCAAUGGGCGAGAGCCUGAACCAGCCAAGUAGCGUGCAGGAUGACGGCCCUAUGGGUUGUAAACUGCUUUUAGAAGGGAAUAAAGUGGGUCACGUGUGACUUUUUGCAUGUACCUUAUGAAUAAGGACCGGCUAAUUCCGUG
rnacentral:rRNA from 1 species